rnacentral:rRNA from 1 species
CCUACGGGAGGCAGCAGUGAGGGAUAUUGCGCAAUGGGCGAAAGCCUGACGCAGCGACGCCGCGUGGGCGAGGAAGGCCUUCGGGUUGUAAAGCCCUUUUGGCAGGGAAGAGCAAGGACUGUACCUGCAGAACAAGUCACGGCUAACUACGUGCCAGCAGCCGCGGUAAAACGGAGGGAGCAAUAGUUAUUCGGAUUCACUGGGCUUAAAGAGCACGUAGGUGGCUAAGUAGGUCAUAUGUUAAAAACUUUGGCACAACAAAAGGAAUGCAUAUGAAACCGCUUAGCUUGAGUUCAGGGGAGGUAGGUGGAAUUCCCGGUGGAGCGGUAAAAUGCGUAGAUAUCGGGAAGAACACCUGCGGCGAAGGCGACCUACAAAACUGAUACUGACACUGAGGUGCGAAAGCUAGGGGAGCAAACAGGAUUAGAUCCCCUUGUAGU